UCUGGCUCUGGUUUCUUUCUCCCCUUGCUGGCUUUGAAGAAGCAAGCCACUCUAAAUCAGCAGCUAGACUGUGAGCAGUUUGGGAGGCAGACUGCAUGGGUUCAAGUCCUCUGCUUGCACUUGACCUGCCCCGUGAGCAGGGACGCAGAUGCUCCCCAGUCAAGCCUCUGGAUGAGACCACAGCCCUGGCCGGCACCUUGAUUUCAGCCUAAGCAGACGACCCUGCAGGGCUAGGCCCAGGCUUCUGACCCUCAGACACUUGCCCUGUGAACAUCGGGCAGGCUGCCAAGCAUGUGUGCAGCUGCUGAAGAUGGGGCUGUGUCAUGGGGGGCUCGAAGGCCAGCGUGAGGCGCUACAACUGAAUCCAGAGGCGAGGGAGCUGGGAAGACUGCCGAGCAAUGGGCGCUCUGCAGAACCCAGCAACCGGCAGCUGAUGGGGCUGAGCUUGUCCAGUGGUCCCGCUCCCCCAGGCUCAGGGGAAGGAGGACAGUGGUUGCUUCUCCUGGCCAGCACCAAUGCCUUGCUCUGUGUCACAGCUUCUAAUUCUGUAGGAACUACCUGGCCCCAUUCAGAGUCCCCUGCCCAAUGCACUCAGCCUGGUUACUCAAGGGUUUCUGUCACCUCUGGCUACAGUGAAUGGUUCAGGGAAGGACACGUGACCUAAGUCAGGCCAGUGGGAGUCAGCCUCAGGUCUUCUGUUCAAAGCAGUUUGGCUUCCUAAACAGGAUGGCUGAAAAUCUGGAGCUGCUGACCCUGCCACAAGGAGAAAAACCCGCCUGAGAAUGAAGCCAAUUCAGCGGAAGUGGGACUGAGAGAUAAGAAAUGAGAGCUUUCCAAUGGCAUUGUAAGACUGCUGGAUCCAGCCAUGCCUGAGGCUGGAGCUGUGCAUGGACUUUUCAGUAACUAUAUUUACUGUGUUCCUUUUAUCUUAUAUGCCUUAUCUGGUUCAAAGGUCAUUUCUGCUUGCAACCAAAGGAGUCCUGGCUGACAGAUACUGUGUGUCUUUGGUCCCAAA